UUUUAUACGUACCCCUCAAAGACUAACUAUAUGGGCAUUUUCAUUUUUUCGGUAUGAAAAAGUAAUAAGAAUGAGAGGUGAUUAUUCACAAUUAGUUUUUCUUUUAAUAUAAAUAAAUUGUAUUGUGUGACACUCCUUUCGUCAAAUUGUAUAUCUGUAAAAGUCUGUAGAUGCCAUGUGCUAUAAAUGAAACUACUAAUAAAAUAUACGAAACUUUAUCCUUUUAAAAAUGUACGAUGUCAAGAAAAAAAAAACGUAAAUAUAUAUGCAA
rnacentral:lncRNA from 1 species